CCUACGGGAGGCUGCAGUGGGGAAUAUUGCACAAUGGGGGAAACCCUGAUGCAGCGACGCCGCGUGAGUGAGGACGGAUUUCGGGAUGUAAAGCUCUAUUAGCAGGGAAGAAAAUGACGGUACCUGAGUAAGAAGCCCCGGCUCACUACGUGCCAGCAGCCGCGGUAAUAUGCAGGGGGCAAGCGUUAUCCGGAUUUACUGGGUGUAAAGGGAUCGUAGUGGGUUGAUGAAGUCAGAAGGGAAAACCCCGGGCCGAACCUUGGGACUGCUUUUGAAACUGAGUAGCUAGAGUGCAGGAGAGGUAAGCGGAAUGCGUGGUGUAGCGGUGAAAUGCGGAGAUAUUAGGAAGAACACCAGUUGCGAAGGCGGCUUACUGGCCUGUAACUGACGUUGAGGCUCGAAAGCGUGGGGAGCAAACAGGAUUAGAUACCCCAGUAGUC
rnacentral:rRNA from 1 species